rnacentral:rRNA from 1 species
ACCGUGCGAACGUUGUUCGGAAUCACUGGGCUUAAAGGGCGCGUAGGCGGGCAGGCAAGUCAGGGGUGAAAGCCCACGGCUCAACCGUGGAAGUGCCUUUGAUACUGCCGGUCUUGAGGGAGGUAGGGGCGUGCGGAACUUCCGGUGGAGCGGUGAAAUGCGUAGAUAUCGGAAGGAACACCGGUGGCGAAAGCGGCGCGCUGGACCACAACUGACGCUGAGGCGCGAAAGCUAGGGGAGCAAACAGG